rnacentral:rRNA from 1 species
AUUGAACGCUGGCGGCGUGCUUAACACAUGCAAGUCGAUCGGUAACGCGGGGGCAACCCUGGCGACGAGAGGCGGACGGGUGAGGAACGCUUGGGAAUCUGCCCUUCAGCGGGGGACAACACGGGGAAACUCGUGCUAAUACCGCAUACGCUCCACGGGGGAAAGCCGGGGACCGCAAGGCCCGGCACUGAAGGAUGAGCCCAAGUCGGAUUAGCUAGUUGGCGGGGUAACGGCCCACCAAGGCGACGAUCCGUAGCUGGUCUGAGAGGACGAUCAGCCACACUGGGACUGAGACACGGCCCAGACUCCUACGGGAGGCAGCAGUGGGGAAUAUUGGACAAUGGGGGAAACCCUGAUCCAGCGACGCCGCGUGGGUGAAGAAGGCCUGCGGGUUGUAAAGCCCUUUCGGUAGGGACGAAAGCUCUCGACCUAACACGUCGGGAGGUUGACUUAACCUACAAAAGAAGCACCGGCUAACUCUGUGCCAGCCGCCGCAGUAAAAC